rnacentral:rRNA from 1 species
GACGAACGCUGGCGGCGUGCUUAACACAUGCAAGUCGAACGGACAGGCCCUGGUUCGGUGGGCUGCUCGAGUAGCGAACGGGUGAGUAACACUUGAGUAACCCACCCUCGACUUUCGGGUAACUACAGCAAACUAGGGCUAAUACCGGAUAGGUGAUCCCGCUGCAAGGUGGCGGCUGGAAAGUUUCGACUGUUGGGGGUGGCCUCGCAGCGUAUCAGCUUGGUGGUGCGGUAGUGGCUUGACAAGGAUUUGACGGGGGGCGGGGCUGCGAGGGUGACCGGCCCAGUUGGACUUGGGAUACGGCCCAGACUCCUCCGGGAGGCAGCAGUGGGGAAGAUAGUACAAGGGGAGGAAGCCUGAUGCAGCAACGCCGCGUGCGGGAUGACGGCCUGCGGGUUGUAAACCACUGUCGCCUGUGACGAGGCGUGAGUGACGGUAAUGGGUAAAGAAGCACCGGCUAACUACGUG